GACAGAGGGUGCAAACGUUGUUCGGAAUUACUGGGCGUAAAGCGAGUGUAGGCGGUUUCCUAAGUCGGAUGUGAAAGCCCCGGGCUCAACCCGGGAAGUGCAUUCGAAACUGGGAGGCUAGAGUGUCGGAGAGGUUGGUGGAAUUCUCGGUGUAGAGGUGAAAUUCGUAGAUAUCGAGAGGAACACCGGUGGCGAAGGCGGCCAACUGGACGAAUACUGACGCUGAGACUCGAAAGCGUGGGGAGCAAACAGG
rnacentral:rRNA from 1 species